UUUUUGUUUAUCUUUUUAAAAGAUAACACAUCAAGAAAAAAAAAUUAAUAAUAAUAAUAAUAAAAGUACUUGUUAUAAGGAUUUCCAGCUGAUCUGCCCAACACAAACAUCUUUGAUUCUCCCCCAAAAAAAAAAAAAAAUGAAUGUUAAAGAAGAGGAAGAAGACGCUUCAGUGCUCAAACUUGGCGACGAAUUUUUAUAGGCCAAAUGUCUAAUGAAUUGUGAGGUUUCCAUUCUUCUUGAGCAUAGAUGCGAUCAACUCAAGCAUUUGUCUGAUGACUCAUUGAAACAACUUCCACAAUUUUCAGUUAUCUCAUCUCAGAUUCUCAUAUUUUAGAAUCUGAUUUCCUGUUCAGAGUGUUUAAGAAAGCGCUGCAAUACGUUAAACGUUUCAGCCGCUUCACUAAUCAGGAUGCUGUAAAGCAAGUUAGAGAAGUCCUUAGUAGAUACCAAUUGGCUGAAUAUGAGCUUGCUGUGCUUGGAAAUCUUUGCCCGGAAACUGUAGAGGAAGCUAAUGCCGUUGUGCCUUCUCUAAAGACGAAAGGAAGAAGCCACGACGACGAAGCAAUAGAGAAAUUGUUGAAUGACCUACUAAUGGUAAAGAAAUUUGAGUGAGUUUCUCAGAGUUUUCUUUUACUUCAAGAUGAAUAAAACAUAUCUGGUUGUGGUAGACUCUAUAUCUUUUGCCUCAAUCCUUUGCCAACAAGAUACUAACGUUGAACACAAAGUACUUCAGCUGGUUGUUGUACCCAAAUUUCAACUUUAUCCUUAUUUCCUUUUUAACAUGAAGUUCAUAUUUCCUUAAGCAAA